UGGAUUGUUCACUAAUCUCUGAAUAAAAACAGAAUCCCUGUCCCGAUAAGCUGCCCUUCUCUGUUACAGCAUUUCAUGUCUCUGCCCUUGUAUGAUCGAUGGCAGCCAUAAAUCUCUACAACCCCCUCAACUCAUGAUCCAGUCCUUUCAAGAUGUGAAAUGUAAAGACAUGCUGGCUGACAAGCUUUAAUUGAUUUUGGUUAGUUUGAAAAUGUUCAGAGUUCUUAAAAACUUGAAGUUCCUAUAUAUUUGGAUAAACAUUUUGGAUGCAGUGAAUUAGUUAUUGAUGUAGUUAACGUCAGCUUAACCAAGGCCAGCAGUUUCACAUUCUGUGUUCUUUAAAAUCACAGAACGAUGUUUCAGACAUUAGACAUCGUUAUAGAAAAUCUGCAUGUGUUAUGCUUCUGAAGUCAAAAGAGUUAUGUCAAAUAUUGAGAUAUCCUUUAUUGAUUUAAACUAAUGUAUAAUCCGGUAACUUUGGAGUCUACAGUUAAGAAAUUAUUUGUUAAAUUAUUUACAAAAUGUUUACAUGAUUGUUGUAUGACCCUAGUUCUUCACAAUCCUCUUAUCAAACUGCAUUACAUUUCAGUUGUUUGAGCCAGAGUAAUGCACUAUACACACCAUUAGAUACUUGACAGUUUAAUAAAUAAAUGAAGUUCUCUUUACAAAUCAGCUCUCUCUUUCAGCUUCAAAUAUCGGUCAAAGGCUGAGUCCCAUGUAUGUGGUGGCUGAAGAUUACUUUGCUGUUUUACUAAUGUUAGGUAUUCCUGGAUGGCCAGAUCUCCACACAUGGAAGUUUCUUCACAGUAAGCUGAUAGAUCCCACAGACAAUUCCUGUUCAACGGACAGACAGACAGACAGCAGCACGUCUUGACAGCAGUGGACACAAGUUCAGAAUGUAAAUACGAUGAAUGAUUUUGUUGCAUGUGACAGCGGAGGAGUUGACACAAUUCCCUCAUUGACUCCAGCAUUCAAAGUUUGAAUAGCAGCAGGAUUCCUGCCAGUGGGCAUCUUCUCGCUUUGUGUGGAGUUCCUUGAAAAAAGUAUACAGUUGGAGAAAAUUAGGCACUGCGACCCCCACCCCAAUUGAAUUAGGGCCACCGUAGUUUAAGCACUAUAAAAAGGCAACAGGCAAGUUCACCUGUCUUCAACAAAAAUGGACAGUGUCGGAAGAAGAGGAAGAGUACGGAUGAGAGGGGGAAUCCAGAGAGAACAAGGUGGAGGAAGAGGGAGAGGAAGACCUA